rnacentral:rRNA from 1 species
AGCGUAGACGGCAUGGCAAGUCUGAAGUGAAAGCCCGGGGCUCAACCCCGGGACUGCUUUGGAAACUGUCAGGCUAGAGUGCUGGAGAGGUAAGUGGAAUUCCUAGUGUAGCGGUGAAAUGCGUAGAUAUUAGGAGGAACACCAGUGGCGAAGGCGGCUUACUGGACAGUAACUGACGUUGAGGCUCGAAAGCGUGGGGAGCAAACA